rnacentral:rRNA from 1 species
AGGACGACGCUGGCGGCGUGCCUAACACAUGCAAGUCGAACGGACGAGAUGGGCUUCGGCCAUCGAGUUAGUGGCGGACGGGUGAGUAACGCGUGAGCAAACCUGCCUUACAGAGGGGGAUAACACACGGGAAAACGUGUGCUAAAUACCGCAUAAAUCAGGCUAAUGGCAUCAUUAGCUUGGCAAAGGAGCAAUCCGCUGUAAGAUGGGCUCGCGUCCGAUUAGAUAGUUGGCGGGGUAACGGCCCACCAAGUCUGCGAUCGGUAGCCGGACUGAGAGGUUGAUCGGCCACAUUGGGACUGAGACACGGCCCAAACUCCUACGGGAGGCAGCAGUGAGGGAUAUUGCACAAUGGGCGAAAGCCUGAUGCAGCAACGCCGCGUGAGGGAUGACGGUCUUCGGAUUGUAAACCUCUGUCCUCAGUGAAGAAAAAAAUGACGGUAGCUGAGGAGGAAGCCACGGCUAACUACGUG